rnacentral:rRNA from 1 species
UACCAGCACCCCGAGUGGUCGGGACGAUUAUUGGGCGUAAAGAGCUCGUAGGCGGUCUGUUGCGUCCGCUGUGAAAACUCGGGGCUUAACCCCGAGCCUGCAGUGGAUACGGGCAGACUAGAGGUAGGUAGGGGAGAAUGGAAUUCCCGGUGUAGCGGUGAAAUGCGCAGAUAUCGGGAGGAACACCGGUGGCGAAGGCGGUUCUCUGGGCCUUACCUGACGCUGAGGAGCGAAAGCGUGGGGAGCGAACAGG